UUUUGAUUGUUGUACAGAAACC
rnacentral:miRNA from 1 species